UGUGUAUGCUCCAGCAAUGUAUGCGUGUGUGUGCGGGCUUGAAAACUUGACGAAAAUUCGUCGAGUUUUGUCCCUUUACCACUCCAUAGCGGAAGAAGAGAAUCAAAAAGGAAUGAGUGCUGUCGUUCCAAGUCAAGUUCCUAAAAGGGAAAUCAUUUUAUGCGUUUUUGCGUCUUCCUUCAUCAGAAUCGUCAGAAUUAAGAUUAAGGGUAAGUGAGA